rnacentral:rRNA from 1 species
GACGAACGCUGGCGGCGUGCUUAACACAUGCAAGUCGAACGGAAAGGCCCUGCUUUUGUGGGGUGCUCGAGUGGCGAACGGGUGAGUAACACGUGAGUAACCUGCCCUUGACUUUGGGAUAACUUCAGGAAACUGGGGCUAAUACCGGAUAGGAGCUCCUGCUGCAUGGUGGGGGUUGGAAAGUUUCGGCGGUUGGGGAUGGACUCGCGGCUUAUCAGCUUGUUGGUGGGGUAGUGGCUUACCAAGGCUUUGACGGGUAGCCGGCCUGAGAGGGUGACCGGCCACAUUGGGACUGAGAUACGGCCCAGACUCCUACGGGAGGCAGCAGUGGGGAAUAUUGCACAAUGGGCGGAAGCCUGAUGCAGCAACGCCGCGUGCGGGAUGACGGCCUUCGGGUUGUAAACCGCUUUCGCCUGUGACGAAGCGUGAGUGACGGUAAUGGGUAAAGAAGCACCGGCUAACUACGUGCCAGCAGCCGCGGUGAUACGUAGGGUGCGAGCGUUGUCCGGAUUUAUUGGGCGUAAAGGGCUCGUAGGUGGUUGAUCGCGUCGGAAGUGUAAUCUUGGGGCUUAACCCUGAGCGUGCUUUCGAUACGGGUUGACUUGAGGAAAGUAAGGGAGAAUGGAAUUCCUGGUGGAGCGGUGGAAUGCGCAGAUAUCAGGAGGAACACCAGUGGCGAAGGCGGUUCUCUGGGCCUUUCCUGACGCUGAGGAGCGAAAGCGUGGGGAGCGAACAGGCUUAGAUACCCUGGUAGUCCACGCUGUAAACGGUGGGUACUAGGUGUGGGGUCCAUUCCACGGGUUCCGUGCCGUAGCUAACGCUUUAAGUACCCCGCCUGGGGAGUACGGCCGCAAGGCUAAAACUCAAAGGAAUUGACGGGGCCCCGCACAAGCGGCGGAGCAUGCGGAUUAAUUCGAUGCAACGCGUAGAACCUUACCUGGGUUUGACAUGGAUCGGGAGCGCUCAGAGAUGGGUGUGCCUCUUUUGGGGUCGGUUCACAGGUGGUGCAUGGCUGUCGUCAGCUCGUGUCGUGAGAUGUUGGGUUAAGUCCCGCAACGAGCGCAACCCUUGUUCACUGUUGCCAGCACGUUAUGGUGGGGACUCAGUGGAGACCGCCGGGGUCAACUCGGAGGAAGGUGGGGAUGACGUCAAGUCAUCAUGCCCCUUAUGUCCAGGGCUUCACGCAUGCUACAAUGGCUGGUACAGAGAGUGGCGAGCCUGUGAGGGUGAGCGAAUCUCGGAAAGCCGGUCUCAGUUCGGAUUGGGGUCUGCAACUCGACCUCAUGAAGUCGGAGUCGCUAGUAAUCGCAGAUCAGCAACGCUGCGGUGGAUACGUUCCCGGG